GUCGGGACGGCCGAGGGAAGGGCCGGGGCGGCCGCGGGCUGCAUCGGCGCAGCGGGCGGCCGAGGUGUCCGGCCCGGGGGCCCCCCGGAGGGUCUGCCGGGGCGCAGCUCGUCCUCCGAGGGCUCGGGACCCCGGGGCCGAGCUGUGUGUUUUUGGCUGGAGACGGGAGGGUCAGCGAUUGCCCGUUGCAUCCAGAAAGACCUUUUCUCAAGUUUGUUUUUUUUUUUUUUUUUUUUUGCCUGAUCCCGGAAGGAAGGUUUUGUUAUGAUCAUAAAACUGGAUUUCAUGUUGCAGUCGUUUCGAAAGGCAACUUCCGCCGUUGACCAAUUUGUUGUCCUCGGGCUGAAUUCGGCACGAGAAGGUCCCGCUGGCGUUCAGACAGUUUCUGAAACAAAAACACCUUUUGGGGGCGGGGUAAUGACUUUGGGGGGCAGCCCCCCGUAGGCAGUGUGCUGGUCUAAGGGUCCCACUGCCGGAGAGGCAGAGCUUUUUUGUUUUUGUUUUUUGGUAGCCCGGCUCUUUAGCCCGUGUGUGAAUGUCAGUGAGUCAGGAUUCUCACCUUUGCAGCUCUCAAGGUGAACUUAAAGCGCCUCCCGCUUCCUGCCAAAGGUGUCUUACAGAAGAUUUCCCUUAAAGAAUUCCGUGCGUGUCUUCCCUAGGUGCGAUGGAGGACUCGGAGGGAUUUUAAGGAACAAACCAGGGGCAAGCUCAUCGAAAUCCAUCUUUGGAGUUUGAGUGCAUUGCUAGGGCGCAUCUCUUCAGGAGGCCGCGGCGUCAGGCUUCCUCUGUGAUUUUAAUUACUAAUCACACGGUCAUUUUUAUAAGAAAUCCUUUUUGAGGUCCAAGCACAUUGGAAGGCCGUAAAUGGCAGCUGAACGUGGGCUCCCUUUGCCCUUGAUGCAAACUUAGUCCCUUCUGCCUUCUGUGCCAAGUAAGAAGGAAUAUAAAAUAAUAAAAAUGUAAAAGACAGCGCUUGGAAAAUAAGUCUUUGCACAUUCAGUUUCAUAAAUGAAAGUAAGACAUGUGUUUUAAAGGUAAAAACAUUGUCCUCAUGCAUUUGAAGUUUCAGAUUUUCCUUCUCACAAAGACUUGUUGCUGCUUCUCGUGGAGCAAACACCAAGUCCUGUGUUUUUAGAGAACUUGGUGGAGGUGACUGAGGGGGCUGCAGAGUUAUUUCACUGUUAGAGCAAGUGCUAAAGCGGGACAUUAAAGUGACUAUUCUUCCAUGUACAGCCCAGUUCUGUACAGAAAGGGAAAGAAAUGGAAAGUGUGCUGAGUAGUGAUAAUGAAACCUGGCCUAAAUUAAAAAGAGGGAAAUGCUUAGAUAUUAAUUAGCCCUGCUGCCACACAGAAGUGUGAGUGCGGUUGUCAGGCAGGCCUUAUGGGUAGCAUUGGGACACAGGUGUAUAACCGUUAGUACUUUCUGGUAGCAAAUGGCAUUGGAGUGGGUGUUGCAUGAUUUACUUAAUUGGUAGCUUUGACUCUAAUAAUUCUUCAUGUACUGAUACAGAUUAAUUUUUCAGAUUGAGCUGGAAACAAAGCUAGGGCUAGCAUCCCAUUCUAGUACAUUGCUUUGGUACUGUUACUUUGCAUUUGUAUGUCCUACUUGUUUCCUGGAAUAUAGGUACCUUAUGUGGAUACUAUGUUGUCAUAUGCUACAUUUAUGGUAUUGUCUAUGCCUAAGAAAUAAAUACAUCUAAGAAAGUUUAGUCUUUUGAGGCAAAUACAAAAACAAACAAACAAACAAACAAACAAAUAAACUUAGAGGCCGGUGCUGCGACUCACUAGGCUAAUCCUCCGCCUUGCGGCACCGGCACACCAGGUUCUAGUCCUGGUCGGGGCGCCAGAUUCUGUCCCGGUUGCCCCUCUUCCAGGCCAGCUCUCUGCUGUGGCCAAGGAGUGCAGUGGAGGAUGGCCCAGGUGCUUGGGCCCUGCACCCCAUGGGAGACCAGGAGAAGCACCUGGCUCCUGCCUUCGGAUCAGCGCGAUGCGCCGGCCGCAGCGGCCAUUGGAGGGUGAACCAACGGCAAAGGAAGACCUUUCUCUCUGUCUCUCUCUCUCACUGUCCACUCUGCCUGUCCAAAAAAAAACCAAAAAACAAAACAAAACAAAAAAAAAAACUUAUUAACUUGCUCUUAUAGAACUGAGGUGCAUUUUUUAUGUUUUUGGAAAAUUUUUGGUCAGAGUAAUCUGGAUUAUAUCAUUUUGUGGUGUUGGAGACAUUGCAACAUGUGGGUUUGUAGUGUCUGCUAAAAGUUGUAGCUCUUUUUUCUUUUUUUUUUAAAGAUUUUUUUUUGACAGGUAGAGUGGACAGUGAGAGAGAGAGACAGAGAGAAAGGUCUUCCUUUGCCGUUGGUUCACCCUCCAAUGGCCACCGCGGCCGGUGCGCUGCGGCUGGCGCACCGCGCUGAUCCGAAGGCAGGAGCCAGGUGCUUCUCCUGGUCUCCCAUGGGGUGCAGGGCCCAAGCACUUGGGCCAUCCUCCACUGCACUCCUGGGCCACAGCAGAGAGAUUUGAAAGAGUUACAGAGAGAGGUAGAGAGAGAGAGGUCAUCCAUCUGCUGGUUCACUCCCCAGAUGGCCACAACAGCUGGAGCUGCGCUGAUCCGAAGCCAGGAGCUUCUUCCAGCUCUCUCACGUGGGUGCAGGGGCCUGAGGACUUGGGCCAUCCUCCACUGCUUUCCCAGGCCAUUGCAGAGAGCUGGAUGGGAUUAGGACCAGCGCCCAUAUGGGAUGCUGGCGCUUAAGGCCAUGGCUUUAACCCACUACACCACAGCGCCGGCCCCAAGUUGUAGCUCUUAAGGGACUUGAAGUUCAUUCUUCUUUUGCUGAAAAUUUCAAAUUGUGGUGUCUGUAACCAUGUCUUUGCACAGUGAGGAUUUCUGCCACUUCUGGGGAGAUUGCCUUUACAUUUCAAGCAUCUAGAAUUUCGCUUCCUUUCUGCAGUUGACUAGCUAUAUAAAACUACCCGGAUUUUACUGUAAUAUUUUUUUCUUUUGUUGGUGUUACCAUGGAGCAUGUGGUGUAUUCCAGCUUCUUUGAUUCAUUUAGUGUUUACUGAACACAUUUUAGGUUCUUGAUACCAUACUGGAUCUUAAGAAUACAAAGGUGGAUUUUAAAAAGUAAAGGCCCUUGUUUAAAGGUGUUUAUCACCUAGACUGAAAAUUCUAAAUUAUGAUGUUUUGUUUCAUGAAAAUGAAAUAGUAUUUCUGAGUUCCAAGUUCUGUAAGGAGUAUUUAUGUGUGUGUGAAGUGAGUAAUGUAGUUUAAUUGACUCUAUCAAGUUAGUCCACUUGGGUGUCUUGGUGGAACUUCCAAAAUAUAUAUAUAUAUUAUAUAUAUAUAUACACAUACACACACACACAUAUAUAUAUAUAUAUAUAUAUAUAAAUACAGAAUGACAGAGAAAGCUGGAGGGACAGAGAGAGAAAGAGAUCUUCCAUCUGCUGGUUCACUCCCUAAAUGUAUGCAAUGGCUGAGGCUGGGACAGAAUGAAGUCAGGAGCCAUGAACUCCAUCCUGGUCUCCCACAUGGUGAUAGGGCUCAAAUACUUGGGUCAUCUUUUGCUGUCUUCCAAGGUGUCUAAGCAGGGUCAUGGAUUUGAGGCAGUGCAGUUGGGACUCAAAUUGGUGCUCCAGUAUGCAAUGCUGUCAUCACAAGCUGAGGCUUAACCCAGUGUGACAUAAUGCAGUGUCUCUGAAAUUGUUAAAAUACAGCUUUCAGAAAGGUAAAAUCAUGAUUUUUGUGCAAAUGUCAAUGGACACGUGUCAUUGGUUUUGAUUCAACCUAUUACUUAGAGAACUAGUAAAAUGUCAAAGCUGCUCAUGAGAAACUUUGAGGAGGUAAGUACUUAUAGACAAUUUAAUAAAAGAGUACUGAGCUCAGAUUGUUAGGUUAGAUACAAAAUUAGUUAACUUCCUGCAAGAACAUAAAAGAGUAAGUUUUGGGGGCCAAUGUUGUGUCCCCGUGGGUUAAGCUGCCAAUUGCAAUCCAGCAUUCCAUGUUGUAGCACUUGGCUGUUCUGUUUCCGAUCCAGUUCCCUAUUAAUGUGGCAGGAAAGCAGAGGAGUAUAGUUCAAGUGCCUGAGUCCCUGCUCCCCACAUGGGAGACCUGGGUAGUCUUGAGUUCAUGGAAAAUACAUAGUAUGAAAAAACUGUGCAUGGAUUUCAAAAGUUUUUUUUAAGUACUUUUUAGAAGGUUCUUAUUUUUCAUUGUAUUUUAAAGACAGAGUGAGGGGCCAGUGCUGUGGCAUAGCAUAUAAAGCUGUUGCCUGCAGUGCUGGCAUCCCAUGUUGGCGCCAGUUCGAGUCCCAGCUGCUCUACUUCCAAUCCAGCUCUCUGCUUUGGACUGGGAAAGCAGUAGAAGAUGGCCCAAGUCCUUGGGCCCCUAACCUGCGUGGGGGACCCAGAAGAAUCUCCUGGCUUCUGGCUUCAGAUCAGCCCAGCUCCAGCUGUUGCAGCCAUUUGGAGAGUGAACCAGUGGAUGGAGGACUUUCUCUUUUUUUUUUUUUUUUUUUUUGACAGGCAGAGUGGACAGUGAGAGAGAGAGACAGAGAGAAAGGUCUUCCUUUGCCGUUGGUUCACCCUCCAAUGGCCGCCGCGGCCGGCACGCUGCGGCCGGCGCACCGUGCUGAUCCGAUGGCAGGAGCCAGGAGCCAGGUGCUUUUCCUGGUCUCCCAUGGGGUGCAGGGCCCAAGCACCUGGGCCAUCCUCCACUGCACUCCCUGGCCACAGCAGAGAGCUGGCCUGGAAGAGGGGCAACCAGGACAGAAUCUGGCGCCCCGACCAGGACUAGAACCUGGUGUGCCGGUGCCGCAAGGUGGAGGAUUAGCCUAGUGAGCCGCGGUGCCGGCGAGGACUUUCUCUAUCUCUGCCUCUGCUUCUCUGUAACUCUGCCUUUCGGGUCAAUAAAUAAAUAUAUAUGUAUAUUUUAAAAAAGAGUGGGGUCAGCAUUGUGGUAUAUAGCAAGUUAAGCUGUAGCCCAUGUUGCUGAUAUCCCAUAUGGGCACCAGUUUGCGUCCCAGCUGCUCUACUUCCUGUCCUGCUGCCUGUUAAUGCACUUGGGAAGGCAUCAGAAAAUGACCUAAGUCUUUGGGUCCCUGCAGCCUUGUGGGAGAUUUGGAUGUAGUUCUUGGUUCUUGGCUUUGUCCUGGCCGGACCCUAGUUGUCACAGCCAUUUGGGGAGUGAAUCAGCGAAUGGACCUCUAUCUCUCCACCUCUUCCUCCCUCUCUGUUACUCUGCCUUUCACUUAAAUAAAUAAAUCUUUAAAACAAAAAAGAGUGGCAGAGAUUGAGAGAGACCUUCCAUUCAUUAGCUGAUUCCCACAAAAGUACCUGCAACAGCCAGUGUUGGGCCAGCCUAAAGCCAGGUGCUUGGAACCCAAUCUGGGUCACCAGCAUAGGUGGCAAAGAUCUAAGUAUGUCAGCCAUCAUUUGCUGCCUCCCAGGAUGCACAUUAGAAGGAAGCUGGAUUAGAAGCUGAGUAGCCAAGACUUAAACCAGAUACUCCAAUAUGAAAUACAGUUAUCCCAGUGGUAUCUUAACUGCUAUGCCAAAUGCCCAUCCGUCAGAAAUUUUUUGCGCAAAAAUAAACUUAUGGCUUAUUUAUUUUCCAUGAACUUUUUGAAGUUCCCAUGUGUAUGUAUGCUCAUGUGUGCAUGUCUCUAUGAGUAUGUAUUUAUUUUUUAAAGCACCAUUGUUGAUGUUGAAAAUGGAAGGGUUUUUUUCAAAAACAGUGAGUAUUCAUUUCACUAUGUAGAAACACAAAAGUUGAAAAAUUAGAUUUAUGGCAAAGUACUUUUGGAAAUAGAAAUAUUGUUCUUUACCUUUUUGCUUAUUUGUUCUUUAUUUAUAAAGCACAACCUCACGUAGGCAUUUAAAAACAUACAGAGUGGGGCUGGCAUUGUGGCAUAGCAGGUAAAGCUGUCACCUGUGACACUGGCAUCCCAUAUGGGCACCAGUUCUUGUCCUAGCUGCUCCAUUUCCAAUCUUCCUCCCUGUUAAUGGCCUGGGAAAGUGGCGAAAGAUGGCCCAAGUAUUUGGGCCCCAGCACCCAUGUGGGAGACCCCGAUGAAGCUCCUGGCUCAUGGGUCGGGAGCUCCCAAAGUCAGGAACGCAAUCCUGGCUUCUCACAUGGUGGCAGAAAUCUUAUCACUUGAACCAUCACCAGUGCCUCCUAGGAUCUGCAUUGUUGGAAAGCUGGAGUCAGGAGCUGAAGCCCAGAUUGAACUCACGUGCUCUGAUGCAGGACACAAGUGUCUUCAAUGCUAUGUUAAAUACCCACUCUAUCUGAAAAUGAUUUAAUCAGAUUUUUCAGUCCCUGAUCCUUCCUUUGUAGAUGUCCUUUCUGUAAUUGUUCUGAACCAAGCUAUCCAUGGAAAAGAAAAUGUCUGUUGUCUUACCAUCUGUAGUUGGAAAUGUCAGAGAGAGCCAGAAAGAAUUGGUUGAGUUAUUUUGUUACUGAGUCUAAUUUGAUUCAGGUUAAAUAUGAAUCUCUCCAUCCCAUGAUAAUUUGCUGGUAGAUAGCUAUCUAAAAGGCAAGAGAUGUGAGAGAAUGUCUGGAUUAAUUAAUAGCAAUCUAUGGCAAAGAAAAACUAGGAGCUUUGAUUCAGAAACGCGUAUGUAAAAUCUGAUGCGGUUUAGUGUUUCUGCCUUUUUUUUUAAUUCCUUUUUUUUUUUUUUUAAAGAAUUGUUUAUUUGAAAGAGUUACAGAGAGAUAGGGAGAGACAGAGAGAGGAGAGAGAUCUUCCACCUGCUGGUUCACUCUCCAGAUGACAACCACCAGGCCUGGGCCAGGCUGAAGCCAUGAGAAAGGAGCUUGCUUCAUCUGGGUCUCCCACGUGGGUGCAGGGGCCCAAGUACUUGGGCCAUCCUCUGCUGUUUCCCAGGCACAUUAGCAGGGAGCUGGAUUGAAAGUAGAGCAGCCAGACUUGAACUAACUCCCAUGUGGGAUGUUGGUGCUGCAGACGGCAGCUUGACCCACUACACCACAGCAUCAGCCCCGUGUUUCUGCCUUUGUGCCUGUGUCUCAGAAGUUUGUUUUAGAAAAUGGCACAAGAUCUUUUUUUUUUUUUUAAUAUUUCAUUUAUUUAUUUGAGAGGUAGACUUAGAGAGAGGGAGAGACAGUGAGAAAGGUCUUCCAUCUGCUUGUUCACUUCUCAAAUGGACGCAACAGUCGGAGCUAAGCCGAUCUGAAGCCAGGGGCCAGGAGCUUCUUCUGGGUCUCCCACGGGGGUGAAGGGGACCAAGCGUUUGGGCCAUCUUCUACUGCUUUCCUAGGCCAUCUCAGAGUGGUGGAUCAGAAGAGGAGUAGCUGGGACAUGAACCGACACCUAAUUGGAUGCCGGCAUGGCAGGCGGAGGCUUAGCUUACUAUGCUACAGUGCUGGUCCCAAAAUGACAGGAGAUCUUUCCUUGGGCCAACAAGAAAAGUAUAGGGUGAUUUGAGAAAAUAAAAUUAAUGUCACUGGUGUGUAAUGGAGUCAAAGAAGCCUUCUUUAAGAUGUACUGAAUUCUGGAGGAUAUAUUAAAAUAAAUUACUGAGUGUCUAGUGUCUGUUCUUGGUCAUGAGGACCUAGCAAGGCCCUUACUGUCACAAAGCUUGCAUCCCACAUGGCUGUGGCAGAGGCCUGGGAGAGAUAGAAAAAGAAGUAAACAAUUAUCUGAAAGAUCAGUUGGAAUUAACAAGAGAAAGGGAGAGAUUUUGAACAGAGGGAAGGAUAGGAACAGGACUUGUUUUUAAAAAACAAACCAAAAAAGGAGAUAAGGCCACUGUGGUAGACUAUAUAUAGGUAGACCUAGUUAGUGUCUCUAAUUGAGAAUAAGAAGUACUUACUGUGGAGUUAUCAUUUAUACACCGAAGUAAUUAGAUUAACCUGAUUAGAAUCGUGUUUGGAAAUAUCAGUCUAAACAAGAAACUAGUAAGACAUCCUAUGAUUUUUUUUUUUAAUUUUUGUUUUUGUUUUGACAUAAGGCCAGAUCUGGAUUUCUUAAAGCCACUAAAUGUAACAGUAGAACUCGAGGGAGUCAUUUGGAAUUACUCCAAACUAAUAAUGACCCAAACUGACUCAAGGGGUUCAGCCAGUACUGGAUGAGCAUUAGGAAUGCGUUUUAACUUGCUGCAGUUGGCUCCCUGUCAGCCAUGAUUUAGUAGUCGCCUUCUAUUUUCAGUUUAAUUUUGGUAUGGUAUAUUUGGAGCAGUAAUAUUCCAUUAAAGUGUUUUAUGCUGAGUAGCCAAAGCAUUACCUAUAUUACCACUUGACAUAAAUCAAAUAUAUGUCUUUUAUAUUAACCAUAGCCUCUUGUUCAAGGGAAUAGUACUUUGAUUAUAUCCUCUGUUAGCCUGCAUAUUUGGAUCAGCAAGGAAUUUUAAUGGGACUAAUAGAUUUAGCAUUAUGUGAUAUAGAAAUGUUAAAAAUUAACAACCUGAAAUUCUUUUCUUCUUUUACAUAAAAACAUGAUACUCAGUAGUAAGCUUUUGAACUGUAUAAUGCAGUCAGUAAUUCAUAUGUUAUUGUGUAGGAGUGAAGCAACACAGUGCAAAUACCAGUAAGAUCUGGAUAUAUGAGCACUAGUAUUAGUUCAAGUAGUUUUCUAUACCCCACUACAUUAAAUGAUUUUGUAAACUCAAAACAGUAUCUCUUCCUUUCCAAAGCACUAUUGUAGUUUUUAAAUCGACUUUUUAGAGGCACGUUACAGUUGAUCUCUUCCUCCUUGAAAUCCUUUCCUCCUUUGGCUUUCAGAACACCAGACUCUCCUGGUUUUCUCUGCAUUUUCCUUUGGGUCUUCUCCUUUCAUGUUCCUCUUUAUUUUCCCAGUCACCUCAUUCUGACCUCCCCAGAGUUUAGUUUUUAGACUUAUAGUUACACUCAUUCUCCUAGAUAUUCUACUCUGCCUCACUGUUUCACGUAUCAUCUGUACCUGAUGAUUUCCAAAUUUGAUCUCUCCUACAUUGGGAUGUUUGUCUUUUUUCUGAAUGCUUCCACAUAGACAUGCUAGAUAUCUCAACUAAUAAUGACAUCCCUCCUUCCCCCCAAAACUUGCUCCUUUUGUAGUGGUUCCCUUAUCAGUAAGAGGCUAUUCAUCCUUCUAGUUGCUCAAACUAAAAGUCUUUUCUAAAGUUUAUUUAUUUGAAAGGCAGAUUGAGAAAGAGAGAUUAUCUUCCAUCUGCUGGUUUACUGCCCUAGUGGGGCUGGGAUAGGCUCAAAUCAGCAGUCAGGAACUCCACUGGGGUCUUCCACAUGGGUAGCAGGGAAUGAAGUGUACAUUAAUGUACAUAAUGUACAUGGUGUACAUUAACAGGAAGCUGGAUUGGAACCCGACACAGUACUUGACCUUAGGCACUUGAUAUGGGAUCUGGGUAACCCAAGCAGCCACGUAACCCGCUGUGCCACAAUGCCAGCCCAAACUGAAAAUCUGUAGCUAUGCUUUAAUUCUUUUUUUCAUGUCAUACUUCUAAUCUGUCAGCGAAUCCUUUCAGCUCUAUUUCACAUUACAACUAUAUUCAGACAUCAUUUUGUACUUUUCCACUUCUAUCACCUGGAGCCAAGUCAUCAUCAGUUUCCUAGAGUAUUGAGACAGCCUCGUUGUUGUUCACCUCUCUUCUACUUUUGCCUCAUUCCAUCUCCUCUCAACACAGUAAAGUGAGAUUGUGUCACUCUUCUUAAGAACUUAGUGCUUCUUUGAAUGAAAGUCAAAGUUCUGGGACCAGCGCUGUAGUGCAGCAGAUUAAUGCCCUGGCCUGAAGCGCCGGCAUCCCAUAUGGGUGCCGGUUUGAGAGCCGGCUGCUCCUCUUCCAAUCCAGCUCUCUGCUAUGGCCUGGGAAAGCAGUGGAAGAUGGCCCAAGUCUUUAGGCCCCUGCACCCGCAUGGGAGACCCAGAAGAAGCUCCUGGCUCCUGGCUCCUGAUCGGCAUAGCUCUGGCCAUUGUGGCCAAUGAGCAAGCGGAUGGAAGACUUCUCUCUCUCUCUCUCUCUCUCUGCCUCUCCUUCUCUCUGUGUAAUUCUUUCAAGUAAAUCUUUAAAAAAAAAAAAAAAAA